rnacentral:rRNA from 1 species
UACGUAGGUGGCGAGCGUUGUCCGGAAUUAUUGGGCGUAAAGAGCAUGUAGGCGGCUUAAUAAGUCGAGCGUGAAAAUGCGGGGCUCAACCCCGUAUGGCGCUGGAAACUGUUAGGCUUGAGUGCAGGAGAGGAAAGGGGAAUUCCCAGUGUAGCGGUGAAAUGCGUAGAUAUUGGGAGGAACACCAGUGGCGAAGGCGCCUUUCUGGACUGUGUCUGACGCUGAGAUGCGAAAGCCAGGGUAGCGAACGGGAUUAGAAACCCUUGUAGUGCUGACUGACU